GAUGAACGCUGGCGGCGUGCCUAAUACAUGCAAGUCGAGCGAACAGAUGAGGAGCUUGCUCCUCUGACGUUAGCGGCGGACGGGUGAGUAACACGUGGAUAACCUACCUAUAAGACUGGGAUAACUUCGGGAAACCGGAGCUAAUACCGGAUAAUAUAUUGAACCGCAUGGUUCAAUAGUGAAAGACGGUUUUGCUGUCACUUAUAGAUGGAUCCGCGCCGCAUUAGCUAGUUGGUAAGGUAACGGCUUACCAAGGCAACGAUGCGUAGCCGACCUGAGAGGGUGAUCGGCCACACUGGAACUGAGACACGGUCCAGACUCCUAAGGGAGGCAGCAGUAGGGAAUCUUCCGCAAUGGGCGAAAGCCUGACGGAGCAACGCCGCGUGAGUGAUGAAGGUCUUCGGAUCGUAAAACUCUGUUAUUAGGGAAGAACAAAUGUGUAAGUAACUAUGCACGUCUUGACGGUAACUAAUCAGAAAGCAACGGCUAACUACGUG
rnacentral:rRNA from 1 species